AUUCUAUAUAUAUUCUAUGUAUAUUAUCGGCUUACUUCUUCAUGUAGCACCAACGCAUAUCUUGUUAUAACACGUAUACGCGUAUACAGGGUGUCGUGCGUAAUUGUAGAACGUGGAAUAUCCAGGAAACACUAAGAAAUAUUCAUGAAAUUUCACGAGCCUCGAGAAAGGCGCACUUCCCUUAUUUUUCCCGUCUCGCGGAACUUAAUUGGUUUUCCUUUAUUACCGCUCUUCGUGUCGUCCGCAAUUGAGCACGGUGAAUGCGACUUGGUAAAUUGGACAAAUUUCUUGAUACUUUUGACUUUGUACUUUAACUUGAGUUAAUUCCAUCACGAUCUGCUGGUUUUCAGUCAUGUUUUCCGAUUUACAUCCUUUGAACGAAAUUGUUGAGUUUAUUGCAACUUGUCGGCUAAUUUGUAAUUGGUUUGAAUUCAUCUUGAUGCAAGGUACGCUAUUUUUAAUUCAGUUUGCGAAAUAUUUCGUGCGCUGGAUUUUCUUUGUAAUUCGCCCCUUUUCGACAAUCUUAUUUCUGUUCAUAAGCUUCUUAAAAGAUAGAAUUGUACGUACUUACAAUCAAAUGAUAUCCCGAAUUUAAACCCCGCUCCCUAGUUUCCCAUUUACAGACGCGAUCUAUUUAGUUUGAUAAAGAAUAAUCAAAGAACAAAAAAUUUCACAAAACAGCUUUAUUGAGAAAAUCCAAUUUUCAUGUUCCAGUUCUUCAAUAAAAAAACCUUAUCCACUUUGAUCUCGAAAAUUAUCUUCAUUAUCGAAAGAUCGGAAAGUGUACGGAAACAGUUUAUUUCCGCGAAUUGUCAGAUGCAAAUACUUCGCCUUAAUUAGCGUCAUUUUUGCUCUAUACGUCGUCUUUCUCCGAACGUGUGACUGUUAUCGUUCUCUUUGUAUCAUUUUCAGCAUUUUUUAGCUGAAAACGCUGCGAAUUCAACGCAGCAUAGUCGCAUAGAACGAAAAGGGGUGAACGAGGGAAAGUUAAUUUGUCGCAACGUAUCGCAUUUGCGUUGUGACGCGAUUUUGUUCGUCGUGGAGGAUGCGACGUCGUUGCAACCCGGCAGCAAAACUGACGAGAGAUUUAAUUUCACGGAUCAAAAAUUCAAACAAUUCGGUCGGAGCCGAAGCCUGGGCGAAUUUCACGCGGCGCUGCCGCCGCGUGUUUUCUCGGCACACGAAAAUCCUUCGCGUUGCAGCCUUCCUUUUCUAUCGCGGUUACAGCCAGCUGCGGAGAAAUCGUAUGAUUCAGUUUAAGCGCUUGGCGCGUUGUGUAUCGACGAUAAAGUUUCUCCGUGAACAGGUACACGUACGACGAGACGUUCGUUCUUCUCUUACUCGCUUAAAAAUAUAACUUUUUCGUGUGUAACUUUUUCCAGCCUACGCUGUAGAUUCAUUUUUAGUAACAACGUCUUAAAGAUAAAUUAUUUUAAAAGAAAGGAUAGGCGAAGAAAGACUGUAACAGCUUGAUUCUAAGAGUUUUGGAAUUCUGGAAUGGUAAUCGUUAUAAGUUGGAAACAGUUCCAUUUGAUUGAAGACGGAAUUAGAAAAAAUGGACGUGCUAACUAUAAGUGAUACCAAUUUGUGGUAGAAAAGUUUCAAAAAACUAUCGUUAUUUAUUGUAACGCAAAUUAUGAUACUAAAUAUGGGUACAAAGGAACAUGAUUCACAUUGCGUAAAUAUAAAUAUAAUAUGUAUUUUUUAUUACAUUAAUUGGCAUAUAUCUUCCAUGAUAUGGCAUAUUUCCUACGCAUAAGUUGAAUAUUUGAAUACAUUCUGCUGCAUAAAAGUUCGCAGUCUGUUAUAACUUUGACUGGAUUUUAAUAUAUUAAUAUACGUAUAAUACAAAUGUUAAAUAAAAGAACAAUAAUGGUAUUUUAUAAAUGUUCAGGUAUCGUGUCAGCUUCACCAUGAGAAAGCGCGUAAACGGCACACGGAAGAGCAACGUUCAGGAUGGCGUUGAUCGAAAGAUUAAUCGACCAAUCGACGUACGUGCUGAACGUUUCUCAACAACACCUCGGACAGUUCGAGUAUACAGACACAUUUUAGAGGCGCUGCGGCACUCAAAUCGAUCGUACAUUCUUAGAAACAUACUCAAACAAACCAAGUUAAACAGUGCAGUUUACUGCCUUUCAAUCAUCUCUGUCGCAGUGAAGCGUCGCGUCAUAGGGAAUCACGUACAGCUUGCGAUAUCGACACGAUCGAGACGAGCUUUUAGAAGCCUCGUUAGCUCGGUAUCUCUCUGCACCGUUCCAUUCGCGAAGACUUUAAAUGAUUACAUUGGGUCAGCGGUAUUCGAUCACAAUUAUUGGUAUGUAACAGUUAUUGGAUCUGUGAAGUCUCUCAUGAGGAGGAGCGUUCAUUGUUCAAUUGUUGACGAAGUAACUCUUCGACGAACAAAACUAACGAUGCCUUCAGCAUCGAAGCAAGAGCAGAAUUAUUAUAUUUUUAUUCAAGAGUUUUUGUUUAAUAUUUAUAUUUAUGAAGACGAAAUUAUUCGAUUCGUCCGAGAUUCUUGAAUCUGAGAAAUUCGAUUAUUCGAAUAGUGUGUUCCACGAUUGGUUCGGAUAAUCCAGGCUCAAUUCUGUUUACAGUGGCUCACGAGAAUAUUUGAACACUUACUACAGAGAACGUCUAUGCACGAGUAUAUAUUCUACAUUAUACAUACAUAUUAUAUAAAACAUUUUGAAAUUUUAUUAGCACAAUAAUGAGACACAACUAUCAUUAUCAUAUUGGUAAAAUUCGAAGCGAAUCUCAUUAUACAAUGCUAAUGAGAUUUCAAAAUAUUCCAUAGAGAACACGUACAUAAUAUAUUCGCGAAAGAAUAGUUCGAGUAUUUUCGUGAGUCGCUGUAUUUUUGAAUAUAUCAGACGAAUAUGGAAUUCAUAAUAGUUCGUCAUCGUGAACGAGGAUGAUUACACACGGAUGACGCAAAGACACGAUGCCAGCUAUUAUCUGUGCAACACAGAACAUGUAUUCCGACGUAGAGGAUAUUAUAGAAAUUGCAGAAGACCCAAGACUGGUAUCGAUGUUUACUGGAUGCUUCAGCUGCUUCGCCGGUAGCAAAGAUUAAUCCUAUAUGAACGAAUAUUCGGUGUAUCUUUGUUGAUACAACGAGGAUGUAUGUCCGAGCAUUGCGUGGAAUUCUCGCUCACAAGCUUUCCAUCAUUUCCUCGGGAAAUGUGCACCAUCUGCAUACACAGGAAUACUGAAGUUCUGGAACACAAGCUUAAAAGUUAGAUUCUGUUUGUAAGAAAACUGGCAGAACACCGAAUAUUUAAUACUUUAUUUUUGCACACUUCGCAUUUUAUUUAGAAAAGAUAUUCUUUUCGAGGAAUGAAAGUCGUAUCUGCGACCAGGGUAAACCUUAUUUGAAGGAAAGAUAAAAACCUAACAAUUUGAAAUAAUGACUCUCAGAUCUGAAUGAUCGAAUUUCAUCAAGAAUUAUCUUGAUGAAAUUCAACAUAGAGAAUGUAGGUAUUUAACUUCAUUUUGCAUCGAAAUCAAAUAAAUCAUCUUUGAGUACCUUUCUGCCUUAAUUGACGAUAUUAAAUGAAAUAACAUUCGAGUUAUAAACGGUAUAAGUGAAUUAUUUUACAACGUAACGGUAUUCAGGAUAUUUCAAUCUUUUAAUUCUACCUGAAAGAAUGCACAUUAUGUCUUCGUUAAAUAUCAUAUAAGUAUUAAUAAGCUCACUAUUAAGGCGCAAAUACAUAUACUAUUUAAAUAGCUCAUAAGCAAAAAAUUCCAUUUUCCAAAGUUUCUUCUUGCAGACUGAGUUUGUGAUUCUCAUGUUUGCUUACUCUGAAAUAUUCUGUUGGACUGCGAUGUUUCCAUCUACACCCUAUGCUCAUCCACGAAUGUAGAACAGGUUGUUUCAGGAUGGCGUUACAGGAAUUUCACGUAUUUCUCAGAAACAAGCUUGCGAAUUGUAACAUGUAAAAAAGUUGAGCGCAGUUAAUUAGACACUGCCACGUCAAACGUAAUAAGCAAGAGGACAUAAUACUCUUUCAUAAAUAUAUAAUCGCAGCGGAAAAUGAGCGACAUAAUUUUUCCAAAUUUCUACUCGUAUCGUUAGUCUAUCCGUGUUCACGAACUUGUCGUAACGCGUGGGUGAAAGUAUCGCGCGCUCUACGCAAUCGACAGAGAAACUUCCCCUUCCUGAAGCGAGGUUCUCGUUAUGUAGACGAGUCAAUUACGCUCGUUUUUGCUCUUGACACUUCAGGGUUUCUUCGAGCGAGAUCGACGUGCACGCACAUCUGUUCGAACGAUCGGGAUGUUGGUAUCUAAUUAUUAAUUUGCGUAAUUACCGCACCGCGUGACACCGAGCAAUUGGUUUUUAAUUGAAGCUCGAUGACUACCCCCGUUUUAAUGCAAUUCUGAUGUCGUGUUUCGGUGGCCGAUGAAAAUUGGAAGCAUAUAGACAUAUAUUGAACUGACGUAGCCAGCCAUUCGUAUUUUAAUUGGUUUUUCUACGCAAAUAAUUUACGAGCGAUAAUUUGACGCAUCUCAUUGUUUUGUAUUUAACAUGUUCCUUAUUAAUAAUAAUGGUAAUCGUGUGUAUUAUUGUACAAGUAUUAUUUACAUUAUCAUAUUAGUUUACCUUCUCAUUUUGUGUUGCAGAAUCGCAGGAAGACAAAUAACGUUUCAUUUAAAUCCACGUUUCAGCGAACGCGAAAUUCAACGUGAAAAAUCAAUUGUAUCAUUUUCUCUCACUUUUCCUGCCAACUUACACAUACCAGGCAAUAUACUUGAAAUACCGCUACGAAGAUAGAAGGUUCUCCGGAUUUUUUCCUGCCGAUAUGUACGCGUCAAACCGCGCUUCGACCGACUUGAAAAACUGGUGCCGAUAAUAACGAAACGAGUUUUGAGAUAAAACGAGCGAGCAGCAUUCAGUUCUGUAUCACGUUCGGCAGAUCCACUCGACGAUCCCUCUCCUUUUUUACCUCUUUUCUCUCAUUUUUUCUCCUCACUCUAUUCCUUUUUUUCUUCUCUUUUGCAGUGUCAUGAAUCUCAAAAAAAGUUGAACUAUGACUUUUUGUUAACGAGAAAUACAGGUACGCGAUGAUCGUUGGGAAGAAAUCCCUCGCAAAUGGCCCAGAUGUGAAGCUGAUAAAACAUCGGUGAAAAGCAAAAGCUGACGAUCGGUUUCAACGUUUGAAAAAUGUGUAUCGAUACGCAGAAUGUUGGAUUAUUGAUAACAAAAACAGACAGACAGUUUUACUACCAAGAUCGACAAUCAGACAGUUGUACGCUGUGUUUCGAAAGUAUUUAAAUAUUUACCAUACGUCACUUUUACUUUACAUGUUCGCUGUGUUGCACGGAGUACUUCGAAAUUUCAAUAUCGCUGUAACGAGAUAAUUUUUAUUAACGUUUCUAUUAUUUUCUCUAAUAUUUUAAGUGGAUAGACUUUGUGAGAUACCGUACAUCUCCGAUUCCAAAUCCUCCCAUUCAGUUUACAUAUUGUAUUGUUCAACAACAAUCGGCGCGCGUUUAAAAAGCAUCGAUAGAUUUCGUACGUAUUAUUCGACGAUAUGGAAAGAUACUUGAUUCGAUACGAUUCACUGAAGUAUACUACAGCAAGAGUAUUUGGACGCACAUAGGGGAAGGUCAGCUGCAGUUGUCGUGGUUGAUAACUUCACGUAUUCUGUGACUUUGGAUUCUCUCCACUUUUCCGACUGAAAAAAAAAGGAACUAGAACUUGUACGUUCCUUUUGUAACUUUUCGAGCGACUGACUUCUUUCUAUUCCCUUUCAUCCUUUGCUUCCUAUCCCUAUUUCCGUGAACGCUUCCGUGGACAAUUGGCCCCGUAUUCUUUUCACGAACAGUGACCAUACGACUUACAUUCGUGCCACGUUGAAAAAAAUAUCCAGUUCUGCAAUUUUUAGGCUUGUAAACGCUGGAUGAGCCGAGUAAGAAUGUCUCGGUCGAUCUAAAUUUCCGCAGAGGAGCUAACACAGAGGAGUUCAUUUCAGGUUUUUCGUAUACCUUUAGCUUUUCAAGUCGAACUGAUAAAACGUACGAGUACAAUGGCUGACGAAAGUAUUUCAACUUGCAAGAAAAUUUACAAAAUAGUUAGUAUCGUUGGUAAUUAUUAUUAUUAUUACUAAUUAGUAUAUAAUAUAUUAAAUCGUAGCUUUAACUCAGACAAAUAAUUUUAGUGUCUUAAGAACAUCUCCAGCCUAUAAUUGACACGAGAACUUCGUAACAAUUAUUUCAUGUUUCCCUGGAAUUUGAGAAACUUUUGAACGAUUCAGCCCCGAUCGAAAUGUACCCGGGGGACACGGCACAGUUAAAACACACUGUUCACUGAUUCGUAUUGAAUAGUUAUGAACUGUUUCUAUUCAAGCGAUCGAGCAUCAUGAGCUUGUAACUUCCAGUUUGCGUUAAUGUUCAUAGCGAGCUGUGAUGCAUGUCAUUCAUUCGACAUCACUUUCACGAGCCAUUCGAUAAAACCGGACACGAUAAUUCUGGCACGGCAAGCGUUUUAUCGUGCUAUCGGCGUUAAUUUGUAUGCCCGAUAAGCGUGGAAAUUGCAGCGACGUCUGAAUGCUUGAUUUUCGUUCGACCAAGGUGGUAGUUGUUUUCGACGAGUCACUCACAUCAGUUGAAUAGAUUUUGCUCCUGCUUUCACGACUGUUCUUCAUCGAAGUUUGGUACCCUUCCAUUCAACUGGGCCAUUAAGAGUUGGCUAAUACCAUGAUUUAACUCAAUGUCUUUUGUGCGACUCAUGGUUUUCAAGGAAACGUCCGCCAAGUCAUUAUUCUCGCGAGAAUAAAUUUUGUUUCAAGUUUUAGGCUAUCGUCUAUGAAAAAUAUAAUAUCCAAUAUAAUUAAAUCGUGGACGUACGUGUAAAUUCAUGUUUUUGAGAACGCAACCGAAGAAAUAAAAUGGCUACGAAAUCGAAAGCUGGCUCGUUAAUGAAAGUCGCUAUUCAGAGUUAAUGGUGCGCUUGAUAAUUCUGUUGCCAUAGAAUUUCGACUGCAUUCGACGAUUUAGUACGCCGAUCUCGGGACGAUAACGCAAGAAGAUCAAAGGGUAAAAGCUAUACGUAUCUAUAAUAAAUGGUAUCAUUAAUGGAGCCCAGUCGCCAUAAGAUCAGCGUGAAAUAUCCUGCAGCCAUCAUCUAUAAUAGUCUCGCGUGUGCCGAUGAGUUCACGCUCGGAUAUAUCCGAAAAUCGCGAUUAUUUUUUGUCAAGAAUAUUUUAAACGGGACCAGAGAAAAUUACUAAAAAAUGAAGCCACAGAUACUGACUAAAAUAUUCAUUACUGAUUGUAGGAAAUUCGGUAAUGAAUAUUUCAAUUUCAGAAAAAUUCUCGCCUAACUCGACUAACGAUAAGAUUCGUUAAACCUCAGAUAAUUAUCGCCGUUGAUCAUGGAACGUGAUAGUUAUCAACGUUGGUUACAGAACGUUAUAUUACCGUUAAAUAAUAACUAUGCAACGAUGAAUAAUAUGUAGAUAGCGAAUUUUGUGUAAAGCGUUAGAAAUAAGCCUCGUGAAUCAUUUUCUUGGGAAAUAUCGGAGAUAGCGAGGAAAUUCUUGUUUGACAUCGCAGAGGGAUAAGGGAAAUGCAGCAGUAGCCCCUUGAGGUGGGAUCAUGUUACACAUGUCACAAUAAAUAAGUUCUAAAACAUCAAAGAGCCUUAUUGCCGUAUCGAAGUAUUUCCAAAAGCUUAAAUAAUUUAUUUCAUGUAAUAUUGGUGCGAUAACUGUGCAAUUAAAUCGUUCGUAUAAUUAUAACGCUUCAAAAAUAGCGUCGAUAAAUAUUGUAAAUUAAACGAAUCUCUUAUUAUCGCCUUAUCUUCUGUAAAUAUCUAUAUCCAUUGAAAUAUCCAUUUUGCGUGUUUCCAUCAUCAAACUAAUUCCAAACGAAGGAGAAUUGUCUAACGCCCAUUAACUCCAAAAACGUUCGGGAUGAUAGAUGUUAUCGUGACAAGUAGCGUGCCAUUCUGUAGUACCCUGGGAGACAUCACUAACUGUUACUACUGUAAAUGAAAUAUGCCAGACAAGCAGAACAUUCCGCCAUUCAUUUGUUCGUCGAACGGAACAAUAAUAGCGAAGAUAUAUUGCGCUGUAAACGAUACGUAAUUCCUAUGUUUAUAAUUCUAUGUUUCCAUAGAAAUCUGUCUUUCUUGCUAAUGAAUGUUAAUGAAUCGAAAGAUUAGAAAAUUUAUUGUUAGAAAAUUUAGAUUUCGCGUGAAAAAGUUAUAAAUUAAUGAUAACUUUAUUAUAACAUAAUAAUUUAUAAUAUAAAUUCUCUUUCCUAAAAUUCUGCUCACACAAAUACCAAUAAAUAAGAUAGUUGCCUAAUCUACUUUUCAUUAAAUACUAAAUAUAUUGAAAACUCAUUUAAAGGGGAUCGUCCACGGUACUCUGGUCGUAAGAUUCUCGCAAACAAUGUUUUCGCAGAAAUAAUCCAACGUUUAGAGUGAACUCAGUUCAGUUGGUCGCGAAUGGAACAAAAGCUGGUGAGAUUAUUCUCUUCCUGCGGGAUACUCGAAGCGCAAGAAACCGAAUAGAAUUCGUGCGAUCGAUCAGAAAACAAUUUACAUGAAUGUGUCCGCCUCGCCACAUACGUCUAGGUCCGCAGCUGUUACAGAAAGAAGGAUGUGCUUAAGACGUCACGAUUCAGCUGGGAAAUUCUUCCUUUUAUUCCCCUCUUGCGUGGUCACCUUUGAAGCGACCUUACAUCGCUCUCGUUGCACGCCUCGUUCGGGAGUUUAAUGCAUUUCGAAUUUCCUCCUCCUUCCAGGCAACGUAGCCUUUCAAAGAACAGGACUAUCGUCUUUCUGGGACUCGGCACUCAUCGUGAUUGCCCGACAGUGCUGCGAUCAUUUAAAAAGAUUGUACGAAUUCCAUGCUCGGACAGUGUCAAUUUUCAGUUUCGAGCUCUCGCGUUUCUAACAUUAUGUGUAUCCUUUGAGGCUCUACAACGCAUCGUGAAACACCGAUGCCGUGGAUUUAAUUUACGAUGAAUUUCAAAGUGAAAAUUGCGACUAACUGCGACUUUCUUUUAUUGUACAGGGACUAUUGCAAUAAGAUGGCAGCCCCACUUUCCCCUUAAUUUGAGUAAAACAAUAAAAAAGAUAACGAAAAACCAAUCAUUAUCAAAUCAUUGUUUGUAAUGUACUAUAAAUUUGUGGUCGGAUAAUAUACACAGCAAUGAAUUGAUUUAUACCUAACUUUAACCAAAUCCUUACUCGAAGGAAAAAUAUUAUCAAAAUUGAAGAAUAAACUUGAAAGUUGUAAUCUGAAAUGCUCAAGACAACGAUAGUCAUCUUGCCCACAGACAUGUCAAUUCAUAGGAAUCUUACUUCGUAUGUUCCCAUAUUCAUCCAUUAAAGAUAUUUAACGUGGAACUUGUUAAUGAGAUAAUUGUUGCAUAUUAUCAGUAAAUACUUUGUUACAUAUUUUCUAUCGAAAAAACGCGUUAUUUUACGAUUCUCGUUAUAAUUUAAUACUACGUCAAUAGUACCAAAGUAGUGUCGGACAGUGACUAGUCAGCCAGUAGAUGUAACGUCUACAGAUGUCUUUGAAAGUGAAGUUCUAUGAAGACAUAAUGAUAUCGAACAACUGCGAGGAGACAUUCUUUAAACUAAAGGUUAUCCAAGCACUUUUCUUGGUACUUUAUAAAUGCAUCAAAAGAAGGUAAAGCUUAUGUAACAUCCUCUAACAAAGGAGAAGUGGAAGUGACUCGUUUAAAAAGCAAUGUGGGCUCAUAUCAGAUAAGGUCAAAACCGCAGUUCUUCAGAAACGUGUUCUUUCCGAGAUACCCUUACAAAAUGUUGCACGAGGAUUCUCUACAAUGACGAAAUGGCGACCUUUUUAAAAAUUAAAUUUUUUAAUCAUAUAAAUUGCUUUUAAGUUCUAGUUCGAAUUGCUUUUGGUUCGAUUUCGUUGGAAUUCGAGCAAUUUCUCCACGAUAGCGGACAAAAGAAAAUUUUUAGUUGAAAUUUUUGUGUGCGAGUAAUUUUUGAUUUUACCUAGACAUUUUUUAUCCUGGUAAUAGUUAUCUAAUUUACAAUUUACAAUUACAUUUUAUAUAAAUACAUUUUACAAUUUCAUCUUUUUUUGUAUCACUUAUCUUUCAAAUUUUCUUUUGUCCGCCAUUGUAUACAGGAUUGCUCAAUUUUCAUUGUCGAACUUGGAUUUUUACGUAUAAAAGGAGAACGCAUUUUGUAUGCACGGAAAAACUGAAAAGCCGUUAUUGAAAUUUCGAAUGAUUGGUAGUUUGUGGAAAACUAAAUAGAUGAAUGAAAACGUGUACUAAAUUUAUUUAUCUACUUAACUUUUCUUACGGUACAGAAAAUCAAGAUCAAUUUCUACCGAAGCAUCUAAACACGUUCAAAGAAACCAACAUCAAACACGGCGUCUCGUAACUUUGCACCUUCGACAAGUAAACUUCGAAAGUCUCAACCGUUGCAAGGUUGGAACUACCAGCAAAGGUAUCACACACACGUAGAAACACAGGCUGGAAACAGAGCGAUGUAUUCGGCUGUUAAAUACGUCCGUUCUCUACAGAAUUGCACGACAUCCCGAAGACGUUGAAUAAAUUAUGAAGCAUUAUCCUUCGAAAUACCGCAGCAAUAGCGUGACGCGACGAUGUUCUCGAUGUACUGCAUGUUAACUUAAUGAAAUACAGCUGAUUCCUCUAAAGGAAAUAGCUUCUUAUCGAUUGGAUUUGAAGAUGAUCAAUAAAUGCAGGAAAUCUGUACAAAACAAUAUAUUUCAGUUUCUAGGUUUGUGGUUUUUUAUUUCAUAAAAAUGAUCGUGUAAUUAAAAAUCGUACUUAUUAACUCUGCACGAUUUUCCAAUUUUUCUGCAUUUUAAUAUCGAUAUAAACUUGCAUCUAAUUAAUAUGUAAACGCUAUAAUAAAUACAACAACGCGUGGAUACUUUUUCUAGCCAUUGUAGUUAUUUCUUCUAUCGUAGACUUCAGAACAGGAAAUACAUAUUUACCCGUGCGUUGUCGUAAGAACGACGAAUCUCAACAAUUUAUAUCUUCCAGUGUAUCCUUACGACAUAUGGGCUCAAUAGCUAAAUCUUCCCUGGGGUUGAAAUCUUGCCUUCUAUUCCAUGUGAAACGUUAAAGCUGCAAGUUCGCUGCCGCUCAGCGAAAUAUAGCAGAAAGAGGAAACUUAGAAAAUAAGGCGUCUGAUAAAAAGGAGCACUUUGAACGCGAUCGAAAAGCAUUCUAACGAAAGUUCGCGUCAUCGAAUUUCUUCGUCGAAAACUUCUUCUCUCGAUGGAGCUAAUUAGCGGAUCGCGUUUCCUAUAUUUAUAGCUGAACCGAUGUAGUACUUGGCGGAGCGACGAUCUUCGUAACAGCUCGUAUAUCAUUGCGGCCUGAAUGCGCCGAUAGCUCGUCGAGUAUCAUGGAGAUGAGACGCGGAAGGAGAGAGAGAGAGAGAGAAAGAGAGGGAGGGGGCUAUAUAUCCGCAAAUUAUUGAGCCGGUUGGUUGGCUUUCGAGUCGUAUGGCUUGAUUGAACUCGGCAGCAAUGCACACGAGAUCGUUAGACGAUGGCCUGAGUAUCGAUUCUGCCUCGCGAUCGAGCCUACAGUGUCGCGUAUUGUCGCGUAUACCGACUGGUCUCUCCAUUUCUCUCUCUCGUUUCACGCGGCUAACACCGUGACACAUCGUUCUCUUGCUCGUUCUCGAGAAACGCGACCAGGUAGAUAGGAGGGAGCCUCGACGUGUCGAAGUCACCUGACUGGUGUUAAUCACGAUUGAUUGUUGUGUUCUGGGACGCGUGUAACUUUCGUUGUCGCUCGAGUGUCUAGUCGAGAGACUGGUAACCAGACUGCGAAUUUUCAUGUAAAUUUAUAUUUUCGAGAAUAUUCUUAAAAAGAAGUAAAACCUUGAUGGAGAAUCGUUUGGCUUGGUCAAUUAAUGAAUUGGGUCUAUCUGCAAGAGACGCGGAGAGAUCAUCGUGCAAUCGAUCACUGUGCAUUCUCCUCGCACGAACAGCGGAGGGAUACCGAUUACUAUACUACGAAACCACGACGAAGCUAUCGCAGGACACACGAGGAAGGAUAAGCAGUGUGGAACCGUGCGUUUACCUGUAGCGAGACCACGAAGCUGCUGUUUAAAUGCUCUGUUCGACGACGAUUGUAGAUCUACGACGAUGGAUCGAAGCACAAGUAGAAGAAUUAAUAAAGCAUUAAAUUGUGAAUUGAUGAAAAAAUGGUUCAUCUGUGAAAUAUAUUGUAACUCAAGUUCUUAUGCUUAAGAUAAAAAAGACAGUGCAGGAUAAUUCCAGAAAUGGACGAGAUAGAUCGUGAAGAAAAUUUUGAAAUCCAACUCAAACUGCUAUUACUAUAACGUAUCAUAGCAAAGCUCAACAUCUUCGUUGAUUAAUUUCCAUUCGUAACAGGAAACUUCUUUAUUAUGAAAAUCUAUAUUAUGACAUGUAAUAGAAAUGUAAGUCUUUUUCUAUAUUAUAAAAUUGAAUACUAAACUCAGAUAAUACGCGUGAGAGUAAAUCAUGAUAUUUCAAACUAAAUGCAUUUAAUAUUAAUGCGAACCAGAUCUGAAAAUUUAAUGCUGACCUAUUAACAAAACGCAAGUCACAUCAACAUAAAUAUGAAAAUAUUGAAAUAUGAUGAAUAUUAAAAUUUCUUUGUCUGCGAGUAGAAAGUUCUUCGAAUCUUUUAAAGCUUAAGAUUUUAUUUGAUAGUGUACCACCAUAAUCCCCGUAAGCAGUUCGUAAGUAAAUGAAAGUUAUAUUGAAAAGACGACGUUCUGAGAUGUCUAAAACUACGUUGGACAGACUAUGCACAUUUUAACAGUAUCGUAACUGAUAAAAUACAUAAGAAAUAUUAUCGCAUUUAAUAUUUGAUAAGAGGAGGAAAAGAAAUUUCAAUGCAAAAGAUAUUAUAAAUAAAUCAAACACCUUGAAAUAUUUAAAAAACGUUAAUAGUAAUGCUUAAAUUAAUAUAAUUGUUAAUUACUUGAAUUAAUAGUAUAGCGAUUAACAAUAAAUACUGUUAAUAAUAAAAUUGCAUUAACAACAUCAA